CAUAUAGCUGUCAAAAUCAAGCUCAGCCUGCUUGUCAAUAUCAGACCAUUUCACUUCAUCAUCCAAUGAGAGGAUUGAAAACAGAUGUCUCAAAAUCCUACCAUUUCACACGGACCACUUAGAUCUUCCAGUCCAUGGAGGAUUCUGAUGAAAAUGCUACCGCCAGAUUUCUUGGGCCAUCCCUCCAUUUGGACACUCUGCAGAUAAAGUCCGAGAAAAGUCAAGCAGAAAGUUUCGAAUGUCCCUCGCACCUCAUUAACUUACACUGGACCAUUGCAGGCCAGAGACUGGAAAAGCAUUAGUGAAUCAACCGUGAAGUGGAAAAAGUUAAAAGAAAAGAGUAGCUCAAGCUUUCACUGAAGACUACAACUGAUGAAUCCUGUGGAG